UACGGAGAGGGCAAGCGUUGUUCGGAUUUACUGGGCAUAAAGCGCACGUAGGCGGAUCCACAAGUCGGUUGUGAAAUCCCGGGGCUCAACCCCGGAACAGCGGCCGAAACUGCGGAUCUAGAGGACGAGAGGGGAGAGUGGAACUUCUGGUGGAGCGGUGAAAUGCGUAGAUAUCAGAAGGAACACCGGUGGCGAAAGCGACUCUCUGGCUCGUUUCUGACGCUGAGGUGCGAAAGCUAGGGGAGCAAACGGG
rnacentral:rRNA from 1 species